UUAAAAACUUGAUUUUCACUACAGGGGGACUUUAAUAAAAAUUCUUACUACCCAAAACGUUUGAACGUUAGUGUAUGUUACACUAUUAAAUUGGACAACAAUCAGUAAAUCUGUUAAAUGUCUAGGCUGAGAAAUACAUAAUGCAAUAUGAGCAACUGGUUUUAAAAUUUGACAGAUGUGGUGACCAUAGUAUAAAUGGCUUGGUGUGACAAUGUUAGAGCCCUUUUUCCCUUUGUUUGUUGCUAAAUUUAGUAUUGACCCGCAAGUCGACCAGCCCCGGUGCUCCCCAUGGUCAGCCAUUGCCCCCGUACUGAUUGAUUGGAAUUCCUUCUCUGACUGGCCUCUGUCCUUGAGGUCCUGCUGUAAUUGAACACACCAUUUCAUGCCCUCUGCUUCUUUGUGGGCUGAAAAACAACCUCAUCUUUUGCACAACAAACAAAUGAAAGGCACAGUGUGUGGAGAACAAGCCGAGUGAAUCCAUAAAGCUAUCCUCUUGACAGAUGUUGGAGGUUCUUGUUUGAUGAGAAUCGGUGAGUGGGAUAUGAGUCAAUGAAGCCCAUGCAGAUCGGAUCAAUUCCAAUUAGCUAUCCAGCAAUUUCUGUAUUGCAAGGCCACUAAGCAGCUGGACAUUUUAAUCACAUAUCUCAAAGUGGCCGACCUGAAAGUGACCUCUAAAAAAGACUGGUAAGUGCUCGCUUUCAGCUCUAAACAUGCUCGAGUAAAAAAGUAGAAUGCAGUGAACAUCAUUGAACCACGAACGGAAAAUCCUCUUUUUUUUUUGCCCUUCCAUUUUUAUAGUCAUACUUAAAGAUCAGCCUCUCUUCAAGUAGCAGAAAUAUAUGUUCUUUGUGGAAGUGUAUCAGACUUAAAUGUCAAAAGGCUGUUAAAAUGAUAGGGGGAAAAAGACUGUAAUCUCUUUUAUUCUCCUUCUUCUUCUAGGCCUUUCUCUCCACAUUCACAUUCUGCUUUUUUCUCUCCCCCCCCCCCCCCCCCUACUUUCUCUUCUGCUUUAAUGUCACUGUAUAAAGUCAACAUUAAAGAGCUGCACCAGUCAGCCAGAAGCUAACAAAGAUUAUCUCUCUCCCUCUCUGUAAGAAACUAAAAAGAUGUACACAAAAUUAAGGGAAAAUAAAUUAGCUUCUUCAAAGUAACCACAGCCAGAGGGGGCCAAAUAGAGCUACUCGGUGAUGAGAAGAGGAAACACACAAGGGCUGUGCACAGGGGGAAAUCUGUUUUAAACUCCAGUUUUGGGGAAGUUACUUUAAAACUUGUCAAACUAGAAGUUGCUCCGUCACGAAUGCGGCCUCUGUGGCUCCCUCCGAUCACCACCUGAGGGUACUAAAUUCAUCCGGACUUCAUUUCCCAUAACCCACUGCCUGGAAUAUAAAACAAUCUCACACACACACCCACCGCGAAGUCUUGUUUUGCCACGGCUAACAUUUCUGAGCGUUUACCCUUGUUAUAGUUUUCUCGUGUAUGACCCUGGAUUGUUUAUUCUGUUACGACGUCUCGCUGCCUGCCCAUCUGACUCCUUGCCUGUUUAUCUGGAUACCGCUAGUUCUGUCUGCUGCCAGCCCCGUCCCUGUGCCUGUCCCCUCGUAAUGUUUCUGCCUUGUCUGUGAUACUGUUGUUGUCGGUGAUUUACCCUUGCCUGUUAUACCACGUUUGUCUGCAAUAAAGCUGCAAAUGGAUCCCAUAUGGAGUCAAAUUAA